CCCAGAACGCUAUACUCCACUCUCUGGAGGAGGUAAAGGGGUACCUGGCAGGGGAGAUAGACAGAUCAGCCAGGGAGGUGAAGGCAGAAAUCCAGGCCAUAGGCAUUCGUACAGAGGCCUUAGAGAGCAGGCUGGAAGAUGUGGUAGCAGCACACAAUGAAAAUACCACAGCCACAAACGCACUACUCACCAGGGUCGCUGAACUGGAAAUGGAGCUGGAGGACAACUCUAAUAGAACACGGCGCAACAACAUGCGCAUCAGAGGCCUGCCAGAGGAGGUAGGGGAUGGAGACCUUGAGCAGCUACUGGCGCAGAUCUUCCGCACCAGCCUACCACAGAUACCAGAUCAGCUGUGGCACAUCGACAGGAUACACAGGGCACUGCGAGCUAAGGGACCGCAAAACAGCCCUCCCAGAGAUGUCAUCAUAAGGUGGUACUUUUUUUCCACGAAAGAAGCAAUUCUCAAGCAAAGCAGGCUCCAGCCAUACAUGUAUAAAGGAAAGACGCUACAGAUCUACCAAGACAUCGCUCCAACUACCCUCGCAAGAAGACGAGAAUGGAAACCCAUUGCUGACCUCCUCAGAGCCAAAGGCCUGCGCUUCGCAUGGGGCUU